UGCCAGACUCCUACGGGAGGCAGCAGUGGGGGAUAUUGGACAAUGGGGGAAACCCUGAUGGAGCGACGCCGCGUGAGUGAAGAAGUAUUUCGGUAUGUAAAGCUCUAUCAGCAGGGAAGAAAUAGCGACCUUUGGGUCGCCAGACGGUACCUGAUUAAGAAGCCCCGGCUAACUACGUGCCAGCAGCCGCGGUAAUACGUAGGUGGCAAGCGUUAUCCGGAUUUAUUGGGCGUAAAGGGAACGCAGGCGGUCUUUUAAGUCUGAUGUGAAAGCCUUCGGCUUAACCGGAGUAGUGCAUUGGAAACUGGGAGACUUGAGUGCAGAAGAGGAGAGUGGAAUUCCUAGUGUAGCGGUGAAAUGCGUAGAUAUUAGGAGGAACACCAGUGGCGAAGGCGGCUUACUGGACUGUAACUGACGUUGAGGCUCGAAAGCGUGGGGAGCAAACAGGAUUAGAUACCCGGGUAA
rnacentral:rRNA from 1 species